UUCCACGUUGUCCGUGCCGGCAGCUAACGCAAUUAAGUGCCCCGCCUGGGGAGUACGGCCGCAGGGCUAAAACUCAAAGGAAUUGACGGGGGCCCGCACAAGCGGCGGAGCAUGUGGCUUAAUUCGACGCAGCGCGAAGAACCUUACCAAGGCUUGACAUACACCGGAAACGUCCAGAGAUGGGCGCCCCCUUGUGGUCGGUGUACAGGUGGUGCAUGGCGGUCGUCAGCCCCGUGGUCGUGAGAUGUUGGGUUAAGUCCCGCAACGAGCGCAACCCUUGUCCCGUGUUGCCAGCAGGCCCUUGUGGUGCUGGGGACUCACGGGAGACCGCCGGGGUCAACUCGGAGGAAGGUGGGGACGACGUCAAGUCAUCAUGCCCCUUAUGUCUUGGGCUGCACACGUGCUACAAUGGCCGGUACAAUGAGCUGCGAUACCGCGAGGUGGAGCGAAUCUCAAAAAGCCGGUCUCAGUUCGGAUUGGGGUCUGCAACUCGACCCCAUGAAGUCGGAGUCUCUAGUAAUCGCAGAUCAGCAUUGCUGCGGUGAAUACGUUCGCGGGCCUUGUACACACCGCCCGUCACGUCACGAAAGUCGGUAACACCCGAAGCCGGUGGCCCAACCCCUUGUGGGAGGUAUCUGUCGAAAGUGGGACCGGAAGAUUGAAAACGAAUUCUU
rnacentral:rRNA from 1 species